rnacentral:rRNA from 1 species
GACGAACGCUGGCGGCGUGCCUAAUACAUGCAAGUCGAACGCAGUGGGGACGGGUGAGUAACACGUGGGUAACCUCCCAUCAGAGGGGAUAACACUUGGAAACAGGUGCUAAACCGAUACUGAUGGAUGGACCCGCGGUGCAUUAGCUAGUUGGUGAGGUAACGACUCACCAAGGCCACGAUGAAUAGCCGACCUGAGAGGGUGGUCAGCCAAACUCAGACUGAGACACGGCCCAGACUCCUACGGGAGGCAGCAGGAGGGAAUCUUCGGCAAUGGACGAAAGUCUGACCGAGAAACGCCGCGUGAGAGAAGAAGGUUUUCAGAUCGUAAAACUCUGUUGUUAGAGAAGCGGUAUCUAACCAGAAAGCCACGGCUAACUACGUGCCAGCCGCCGCGGUAAUAC